rnacentral:rRNA from 1 species
CCUACGGGCGGCAGCAGUGGGGAAUAUUGGACAAUGGGCGAAAGCCUGAUCCAGCCAUGCCGCGUGUGUGAAGAAGGCCUUCGGGUUGUAAAGCACUUUCAGUGGGGAAGAAAGCCUUGGGGCUAAUGCCCUCGAGGAAGGACAUCACCCACAGAAGAAGCACCGGCUAACUCCGUGCCAGCAGCCGCGGUAAUACGGAGGGUGCGAGCGUUAAUCGGAAUUACUGGGCGUAAAGCGCGCGUAGGCGGUCUGAUAAGCCGGUUGUGAAAGCCCCGGGCUCAACCUGGGAACGGCAUCCGGAACUGUCAGGCUAGAGUGCAGGAGAGGAAGGUAGAAUUCCCGGUGUAGCGGUGAAAUGCGUAGAGAUCGGGAGGAAUACCAGUGGCGAAGGCGGCCUUCUGGACUGACACUGACGCUGAGGUGCGAAAGCGUGGGUAGCAAACAGGAUUAGAUACCCGAGUAGUC